GAUGAACGCUGGCGGCGUGCCUAAUACAUGCAAGUCGAGCGAACAGACGAGGAGCUUGCUCCUCUGACGUUAGCGGCGGACGGGUGAGUAACACGUGGAUAACCUACCUAUAAGACUGGGAUAACUUCGGGAAACCGGAGCUAAUACCGGAUAAUAUAUUGAACCGCAUGGUUCAAUAGUGAAAGACGGUUUUGCUGUCACUUAUAGAUGGAUCCGCGCCGCAUUAGCUAGUUGGUAAGGUAACGGCCUACCAAGGCAACGAUGCGUAGCCGACCUGAGAGGGUGAUCGGCCACACUGGAACUGAGACACGGUCCAGACUCCUACGGGAGGCAGCAGUAGGGAAUCUUCGGCAAUGGGCGAAAGCCUGACGGAGCAACGCCGCGUGAGUGAUGAAGGUCUUCGGAUCGUAAAACUCUGUUAUUAGGAAAGAAAAAAUGUGUAAGUAACUAUGCACGUCUUGACGGUACCUAAUCAGAAAGCAACGGCUAACUACGUG
rnacentral:rRNA from 1 species